UCUAGCCAUGGGCAGGUUGAAGGUUGAGUAACAUCAACUGGAGGACCGAACCGACUAAUGUUGAAAAAUUAGCGGAUGACUUGUGGCUAGGGGUGAAAGGCCAAUCAAACUCGGAGAUAGCUGGUUCUCCCCGAAAGCUAUUUAGGUAGCGCCUCGGACGAAUACUACUGGGGGUAGAGCACUGUUAAGGCUAGGGGGUCAUCCCGACUUACCAACU
rnacentral:rRNA from 1 species